CAAGUUGAAUCAUCCAAAAUUUCCAGUUCCCCCUUUACCUAAGUGACCCGCCAUAAAAGAAUUUCAUUCUCCCGCUUCCCAACCCUAGGCAAAUUCCUCACCCUAUAAGCUCAAAUUCAAACUAAAAGUUUAACAGUUCCCUCUCUCAUUUUUUAGAAGAAGAUUGAGGAGACAACUAAUUAAAAGUUUUUGACACGACAGCCAUGAACAAUCGUAGUAGCAACUACAAAAAAUGCGGCCGCUGAUCCAUACUCUAAAGGGUUUGGAUCUGAUAGAAAAUUGACCGGCCUAAUUAAAGCUACACCAAAAAAAUCAAUCAUUCUCUAUAUGCAAAUGGGUUAACCAGGUCAGUUGUGAACCCAAAUCCGUCUAACUGGGCCAUGAUUCCAGGGCUUUGUCAUCUAUAUAAUUUUUAUUUCAAGGAACUUUUAGGACAAAAUGUCAUUUGCUUGUGAUGUGAGAAGUAUUCUGAUUUCUGUCCAAAGUCUUCUUGGAGUUUUUUUUCUAACUGUAGAACGAAGCACAAGUUCACAAGAACCUUUUCUAUGAUUUCUACUUGUAUGUCGAACGUUCAGACCAAUUGGUCAGCUUGAGACCUAUUUGAAGUUAAACUUGGUCAAGAAGCCCUACGUUCAUCGCAUCAUCUUAUUUUUUAAAUGGAUAUUUGUGAACAUAUGUUAUAUAACACAAGAUAAUGAACAAAUAUAUGAAUCUAUAUAUUGACCGACGACUUUCUAGUGGUGGUGGAAAUGAAUCGCAGUCAAUGACAGCAUAAGGGUUAAACUCACCUGGAUUAACGCUAGGUGUCCAUGUCAGCCAGGAGGUAUUGAAUGCGGCUACUAUGUGAUGAAGUUGAUAAAGGAGAUAGCUUACGAAGGACUUGAAAUAUUUGACAAUAAUAAUGUUGGGAAAGGAGUAGAGGAAUACUCGGCUGCAGAUAUGGAUGACAUUCGCGAAGAUUGGUCGACUUAUGCGGUUAACUCUAUUUUUAAGUUAUAAAUCGUAUUUUAGGUGUAUGCUUCAGAAAGUGGUGCCAACAUAAGGGUUAAACUCGUAUGGAUUAACGCUAGGUGUCCACGUCAGCCAGGAGGUACUGAAUGCGGCUACUAUGUGAUGAAGUUCAUGAAGGAGGUAGCUUACGAAGGAGUUGAAAUACUUGACAAUGAUAAUGUUGGGAAAGGAGUAGAGGAAUACUCGGCUGCGGAUAUGGAUGACAUUUGUGAAGAUUGGUCGACUUAUGCGGUUAACUCUAUUUUUAAGUUAUAAAUCGUAUUUUAGGUGUUGAUGACGUAUUGACAAACAAUUCUUUUUUUGUUAACGUUAAAAUAUUUGUAGUAUACUUGACAAAUGAUUAUGUAAUGGAUUGUUUUGGUAUAUAUAUAUAUAUAUGUGUGU